AGAGUUUGAUCAUGGCUCAGAAUCAACGCUGGCGGCGUGCCUAACACAUGCAAGUCGAACGCGAAAGGGGAGCAAUCCCUGAGUAGAGUGGCAAACGGGUGAGUAACACGUGGGUGACCUGCCUCAGAGUGGGGGAUAACGUCCCGAAAGGGACGCUAAUACCGCAUAACAUCCUGCCUUUGGAAAGGCGGAGAUCAAAGCCGGGGAUCGCAAGACCUGGCGCUUGGAGAGGGGCCCGCGUCUGAUUAGCUAGUUGGUAGGGUAAUGGCCUACCAAGGCAACGAUCAGUAUCCGGCCUGAGAGGGCGGACGGACACACUGGGACUGAGGCACGGCCCAGACUCCUACGGGAGGCAGCAGUGGGGAAUUGUUCGCAAUGGGCGCAAGCCUGACGACGCAACGCCGCGUGGAGGAUGAAGAUCUUCGGGUCGUAAACUCCUGUCGAGCGGGACGAACACCUAUCCAGCUAACAUCUGGACUGGCUGACGGUACCGCUAAAGGAAGCCCCGGCUAACUCCGUGCCAGCAGCCGCGGUAAUAC
rnacentral:rRNA from 1 species